rnacentral:rRNA from 1 species
GUUUUAAGAGAGUUCGCUCCAAUAGACUAUGGGCGUAACGCUCAAGCAUGUGGUAGCGGCUGAGAGGUUCGGCAAUGGACUGAGAUACGGCCGUCCUACGGAGCAGCAGUAGAUUUGGCAUGGGGAAACCUGACGCAGCACGCAUGUGUGGGAUGACGCAUUUCGGUGGUAAGCACGUCGCAGGGAUAAAGCCACAUUUAUGUGGGGUGAAUGUACUGCAGAGGAAGCCCCGGCUAACUUCGUGCCAGCAGCCGCGGUAAUACGAGGGGGGCAAGUGUUGUCGGAAUCACUGGGCGUAAAGGGAGCGUAGGCGGAUGUUUAAGUUGGAUGUUUAAAACCGGGGCCUAACCUCGGAGCGGCAUCCAAAACUGGGCAUCUUGAAUAGGUCAGAGGCUGGUGGAAUUGGAGGUGUAGCGGUGGAAUGCGUAGAGAUCUCCAAGAACACCUAUUGCGAAGGCAGCCAGCUGGGACCAUAUUGACGCUGAGGCUCGAAAGCAUGGGGAGCAAACAGGAUUAGAUACCCUGGUAGUCCAUGCCGUAAACGAUGAACACUAGGUUUUGGGCUCGUCAACGGUCCAGAGCCGCAGCUAACGCGUUAAGUGUUCCGCCUGGGGAAUACGGUCGCAAGACUGAAACUCAAAGGAAUUGACGGGGGCCCGCACAAGCGGUGGAGCAUGUGGUUUAAUUCGACGCAACGCGCAGAACCUUACCAGGACUUGACAUGGAAGUGACCGGACGAGAGAUCGUUCUUCUCCCGCAAGGGAGCACUUCACACAGGUGCUGCAUGGCUGUCGUCAGCUCGUGUCGUGAGAUGUUGGGUUAAGUCCCGCAACGAGCGCAACCCUCGUUUCUAGUUGCCAUCAUUCAGUUGGGCACUCUAGAGAGACUGCCGCGAAUAACGCGGAGGAAGGUGGGGACGACGUCAAGUCAUCAUGGCCCUUACGUCCUGGGCUACACACGUGCUACAAUGGGCGUUACAGAGGGUCGCAAUAGUGUAAACUGGAGCCAAUCCCCAAAAACGUCCUCAGUUCAGAUCGAGGUCUGCAACCCGACCUCGUGAAGGUGGAAUCGCUAGUAAUCGCGGAUCAGAACGCCGCGGUGAAUACGUUCCCGGGCCUUGUACACACCGCCCGUCAAGCCACGAAAGGAGAGAGCGCUCUAAGCCGCCACGGUAACCCGCAAGGGAACUAAGCGUCUAAAGCGAGAUCUAGUCU